rnacentral:rRNA from 1 species
GUGCCAGCCGCCGCGGUAAUACGGAGGGUGCAAGCGUUGUUCGGAUUUACUGGGCGUAAAGGGCGUGUAGGCGGAUGCGUAAGCUGGGGGUGAAAGGCCCGGGCUCAACCCUGGACGAUCUCCCAGAACUGCGCAUCUAGAGAGAGUCAGAGGCAGGUGGAAUUCCUGGUGUAGAGGUGAAAUUCGUAGAGAUCAGGAGGAACACCGGCGGCGAAGGCGGCCUGCUGGGACUCAUCUGACGCUGAGGCGCGAAAGCGUGGGGAGCAAACAGGAUUAGAUACCCUGGUAGUCCACGCCGUAAACGAUGAGCACUAGAUGUGCGAGGUCUACGACCCCUCGCGUGUCGCAGCUAACGCAUUAAGUGCUCCGCCUGGGGACUACGGUCGCAAGACUAAAACUUAAAUGAAUUGACGGGG